UUCUCAAAGGUUUUAGCCCAGAAAUGAUCC
rnacentral:piRNA from 1 species